rnacentral:misc_RNA from 1 species
UUGUUUUGUUUAUUUAGAAAGAUGGUUUUAUAAAUUUUGUGUUAGAAUUUUUUUUAAGGUUGUUUUAGUUUUAUUUUUUUUGUUGUUUUAUAUAUGUUUUUAUAUAUAUAAAUAUUAUUUGUUGGAUUUUGGAAGGUAUUUGAGUUUGUGAUUUUUGGUUUAAAGAGUAUUGUUUGUAUUAUUUUUUAUUUUGGUGGUGAGAGAAAGAAAGGGUUAAGUUUAG